GGUGAACGCUGGCGGCGUGCCUAAUACAUGCAAGUCGAGCGAACGGACGAGAAGCUUGCUUCUCUGAUGUUAGCGGCGGACGGGUGAGUAACACGUGGAUAACCUACCUAUAAGACUGGGAUAACUUCGGGAAACCGUAGCUAAUACCGGAUAAUAUUUUGAACCGCAUGGUUCAAAAGUGAAAGACGGUCUUGCUGUCACUUAUAGAUGGAUCCGCGCUGCAUUAGCUAGUUGGUAAGGUAACGGCUUACCAAGGCAACGAUGCAUAGCCGACCUGAGAGGGUGAUCGGCCACACUGGAACUGAGACACGGUCCAGACUCCUACGGGAGGCAGCAGUAGGGAAUCUUCCGCAAAGGGCGAAAGCCUGACGGAGCAACGCCGCGUGAGUGAUGAAGGUCUUCGGAUCGUAAAACUCUGUUAUUAGGGAAGAACAUAUGUGUAAGUAACUGUGCACAUCUUGACGGUACCUAAUCAGAAAGCCACGGCUAACUACGUG
rnacentral:rRNA from 1 species